ensembl:lncRNA LIFR-AS1 LIFR antisense RNA 1
GAUCCCCGGCCGCGCGCCCGCGCGCGCGGGUGCUCCAAGGAGUCGGAGGAACGCGGCCGCGCGACGGGCCCCGGACGCCGAGGGUGGUGCUUCCUCCGAGCCUCCGGUGGUGAGGCCGCUCUCAGAAGGUCAUGGAAGCGCAGGGGAGAGCGAGGCGGCCGAGCCCAGGCAAAUCCUCGAGAAAGGCCGAGUGCGCGACGGCUCUGCGGGGAGGACCGCGCCUCCCCGAAUGCGGCCGCUGCUGCCGCUGCAAACAGUGCCUUGAGGAGAGGAAAGCGGGGAACCGUGUUUUCGCCGCCUCUGUAACCACUGCACACAAGAAAACCAGCUUCUGGGAGAGGGGGAUGAUUGUUGGGACUUUGCGAAUUACCUAAACAGCCCAGGGCCGAGGCGCCGCCGCUCGCGUCCUGGUCCUCCUGCCGGGUGUGGGGCUCCCCUGCCCGAGAUGGCCAGCGGGCGCGCCGAGAGUAUCCUGGAGCCAUCUAGUCUUGCCUCGGAGGCGGGGUGGGCUUAUUUGUGCGGAGAAGAAACGGAUCUCUUAAUGGGGUGAGAUUUUUCCUCCGUACAUUGUUCCCAUUUCCGCAGUUUCACUUGGCCUCGGUUUUCUAGCAGAGUAAUCACCAAAUGAAAUUAGCUGGAGAGCGUUUGAUGGCGCAGAAUCACGGUCUGAAGAUGUUUACGCUGUAUGCCGGACGCGUUUGAUGGUGUUCUCUUCGGCACAAUUAAUUUUGCAAAGUUCAGAAAUGUGCCAGACAGAGCCCCUGGCACGCAGUCAGGACUCUACAGACACACCUUGAGUAGGAAACAGGCUUGUUUGUUUCAUCUGUGAUUUAUGUGAUGCACCAGCACCAAGGCCAACGUGUUUUUUAAAGACCUUUCGAUGAAACUCCAAAGCAAUUUAUAAAUUGGCAAAAUGAAGCUUGUUUUGUAAAAUAACUCUUCCUUGUUGAUCAUGUAAUUAAAUGGGCAACAAAACACCUGAAAGGACAUUUACUGAAAAGUAGACUCCCAAAACAAAAAUAUGUAUUUCACAGCUAGAUACGGUCGCUAUUAGCGUCCUAAUGGCCAACUCCAUCCAUGUGCGUAUUUUGAACACUAAAAACGCCUCCUGUUACCCCUAAGACCUUGUUUGGAUAACAUUUUUCUAUUAUAAGUACUCGAAACCAACCCCAUUUAAGAUGUUUACCCUUAUUCUUGAGUCCUUGAUGGUUUGGGAAAUUUAUCAUUAUUCAUAUUGCACAAUCCUGUCACUGUCUUUUCCAUUAGGCACAGUGCCUAAGGUCCACAAUAUUUUUAGAGGCCCACAAAAAAUAUUUUAAUUUCUUUUCAAAUCAGAAGGAAAAAAAAUUUAGGUUUAAGAAAGUAUUUUAAUAUAUAUUAAUAUAUUUGUUUUUGUGCUAAUACAAUCUUAAAAUGUAUGUAUAUAUGUGUGUGUGUAUAUGUAUAUAUAUUUUAAUGGAGUAAGGGGCUCAACGAAGGCAAAAAGGCCUAGAGCCCAAGAAAAACAUGAUGUGGCCCUGUUGCCUGGGGUUGAAAAAUCCCAUUCCAUGAGAAGAAUUUAGUUUUAAGAAUAUUACAUAAAAUGCUCAUUUCUGUGGCCUUGCUAUAAUAGAAAGAUGGAGAUUCAGAGUAGUGAUAAUGGCUAACAUCCACCUGAUACACACCAUGUGUCCAUUACCUCUUAAUCCUCACAGCACACCUGUGAAAUAGGUACUAUUCUCACACUUAGGGGGUAAUGCAGGUUUUGUGGGGCCUGCAAUUUAUGCAAUUUGGGUGGUCCUCUUAAAGAAAAAGCAAAUACUGUGUAUUAGUCCGUUCUCACACUGCUAUAAAGAACUGCGCGAGACUGGGUAAUUUAUAAAGGAAAGAGGUUUAAUUGACUCACAGUUCCACAUGGCUGGGGAGACCUCAGGAAACUUAACAAUCGUGGUGGAAGGAGAAGCAAGUACCUUCUUCACAAGGAAGCGGAAAGAAUUGUGAGCGGAGGAACUUGCCAAACACAAAACCGUCAGAUCGCGUGAGAAUUCAGUUACUAUCACGAGAACAACACGGGAAAACUGUCCCCAUAAUCAAGUCAUUUCUCUCCCUAACAAGUGAGGAUUACAAUUCAAGAUGAGGUUUGGGUAGGAACACAAAGCCUGACCCUAUCCCACAGCAUGUCCAGGCUGCCCUAGCACCACCCAAUAGAAGGGAAAAUGGCAGAGGGAAAGUCCUAGUGGAAAGAGACCUCAGUCUCAGCUAAUUGUGGUGACAAUAUAUUGCUUUUGCAAAUUGUACAUAAACAUAUGACCAGGUGAAUGUAUCGCCAAGGCUCCUGCCAAGGCCUGGGAUGGAGGCCUAGAGAAGAUGCCCGAAAGUUUAUGCUGUGUGAGCUUCACAGAAGACCUGCCUUCCAUGUAUACCCAUUUUACAGGUGUCUGUGCGGUGCAGAAACUGUACAACUGUAUACAGUGACCAUUUCUACUCUGGGUCUCUAAACAAGGGCUGGUAUCGUUACAGAGACUGAAGACUGAGGAAGACCAUCUCUGUAGGAUGCCAAGGAUUGACUGGAGAAAGUCUGGGGUCCCUCUACCUGGGAUGUGAUUCAGUACCCAAUGGUGGAGCGGUCGUUGAGGAAUGAAGACACAUACAAAGGGUAAAGGAGCAGAAUUUUCCACAAAUGAGUUCAUUUAUAAAGAGAAAGGCAAGCUUUGAUGACAACACCUUCACAAAAUGGAGGCCUUUGAAAACAUUGGUCUGGAUUGAGGAGUUGGAGAAGAAUGAAGUGCACAUCAACCAAACAGAAGAGAAGCAAUUUGGAGGAGGAAAAAAUCAGUUCUUCAUGAAAGGAUCACAUUGAUCUUGGUUCAUCCCAGUGCCUCCUCUGCAGACAAUCUUGUCCUCAGUCUUUCAAUUGUUUUCUUCCCAUGCCCUGACAAGCGAACCAGAUCAGGAAUUUAGGAGCAGCUUACCUAAUGGCACCUGGUUACCUAAUGGCACCCUCAACAGCUUACCUAAUGGCACCCUCACUUGGUUCUGGCUCCGGGCCUCUCACAAGAUUGUACACAUGAUGAUGGCCAAGUUUGCAGUCAUCUGAAGUCUUGACUGGAGCUGGAGACUACAUUUCCAAGAUGGCUCACUCAUAUUGCUAGUAAGUUGGUGGUGUCUGUUGGCAAGAAACCCCAAUUCCUGGUCAUAUGAAUCUUUCCAUAGGGCUGUGAUGAGAGUCCUCAUAACAGGGCAGCUGGUUUACCCCUAAGCAAAUAAUCCAAGAGAGAGAAACGCAGAAGCCACAAUGUCUUUUGUGACCCAACCUUGGGAGCCACAUACCAUCAUUUCUACAAUGUCCUGUUGCUUAUGCAUGUUGGCACUAUUCAUUGUGGGAAGAGACUACACAAGGACAUGGAUACCGGAAGGAAGCGACCACUGGGGUCAUCUUGGAGACUGGCUACCACAAGAUGUUUGACAGAUCUAGAAGUCUUGAACCAAAGGUCGUUUUGUCAAAUGCUCUUGUCAUUUUGAUAAUAAACUCAGUGUCUUAGAGGUGCUAACAAAAAGGUUAUAUGUACCCAGAAAUUGAAAGCGGCUGGAAUUCAACUUCUUGAGUGCCAUCAUGUUUUUUUCCUGCUACAUGGUUUAAUAAAGUA